AUAUACUAAUAUGUUUUAAUAAACAUCAAUAAAAAUGGAAUUCUUUCAAAAUUGUUGUCUGUGCCGUGAAUGCCCUUGCCCACCAUGUGCUUCACAAGGACCUCAAGGACAUUGUCAGUGACUUCAGAGGCUUCUACAGGCAGCUCACCAGUGACGGGCAGCUCAGAUGGAUUGGUCCAGAGAAAGGGGUGGUGCACCUGGCAACAGCAGCCAUUCUGAAUGUGGUGUGGGACCUGUGGGCGAAGCAGGAAGGAAAGGUAAGUCAUCUCCGAAGCACAUGUGUAGCUCUGUGGCACAGGAGGACAUGUGACUUUCUCUAUAAGCAGCCUCAGAAGACCAAAGUCAAGUGCAACACAGGUGUCCAAAGGGAAAUACUGAGAUACUUGAUUAUUUUCUUCCCUGAGUGAUAUUGGCAAUAGUUAGGAAAUUAUAGGAUUAGAUUAUAUAGGGCCAAGAAAGAUGG
rnacentral:lncRNA from 1 species